UACGAAGGGGGCUAGCGUUGCUCGGAAUUACUGGGCGUAAAGGGCGCGUAGGCGGUCCUGUAAGUCAGGCGUGAAAUUCCUGGGCUCAACCUGGGGGCUGCGCUUGAGACUGUGGGACUUGAGGACGGAAGAGGCUCGUGGAAUUCCCAGUGUAGAGGUGAAAUUCGUAGAUAUUGGGAAGAACACCGGUGGCGAAGGCGGCGAGCUGGUCCGUUACUGACGCUGAGGCGCGACAGCGUGGGGAGCAAAC
rnacentral:rRNA from 1 species